rnacentral:rRNA from 1 species
UACGUAGGGGGCAAGCGUUGUCCGGAAUCAUUGGGCGUAAAGCGCGUGUAGGCGGCCUUGUAAGUCCGUUCUGAAAGCCCGGGGCUCAACCCCGGGAGGCGGAUGGAUACUGCAAGGCUCGAGUACGGAAGAGGCGAGUGGAAUUCCCGGUGUAGCGGUGAAAUGCGCAGAUAUCGGGAGGAACACCAACGGCGAAGGCAGCUCGCUGGGACGUUACUGACGCUGAGACGCGAAAGCGUGGGGAGCAAACAGG